rnacentral:sRNA from 1 species
GCUGGGUGCGGUGAAGCACGCCUGUAAUCCCAGUGGCUUGGGAGGCUGAGACAGGAGAAUCACGAGUCAAAGCCAGCCUCAGCAACUGCAAGGCACUAAGCAACUCAGUGAGACCCUGUCUCUA